rnacentral:lncRNA from 1 species
GGUUUGACCGAUCGCGACCGGAAGCCUGACUACCCCUACACAGACAAACACCAAACGGAAAAGACAACAGAAGUGGAGUUGUAUAAAAUGCCUAUGAAUGACUUAUGAAUUGCGGAGAGUGGAUUUAUGAAAUAUGUCCAUGUGCUACCGAGAUCGCGGCAGGGAGGAACAAUAUGAUAAAUGAAUGAGAUAUAUGUCCUUGUACACAUCCAAGUCAUCAUACAGAUCAUCAAGACCAGCGAACGACUGACCUAAACCUGUAGCACAUUUCCCCUAAACAGAGAAUAUAAAUGAAUAAAUAAGCUUAGUUCUUUUAUUCCACAGCGGAAUGAACCAUCAAUUUAUCCAGCAUGUGUUCUACGCAGAUGAUGCCCUUCCAGCUGCAACCCAUCACUGGGAAACACCCAUACACUCUUAUUCACAUACAUACACUACGGACAAUUUAGCUUACCCAAUUAGACAAUAGCGCAUGUUUUUGGAGGGGAAACCGGAGCAUCCGGAGGAAAACCACGCCAACACGUUGAGAACAUUCAAAUCCACACAGAAAUGGCAACUGACCCAGCUGAGGCUCGAACCAGUGACCUUCAUGCUGUUAGGCGACAGCACUACCCACUGCGCCACCUCGCUGUCCACCAGAUAUGUCCAUAUCCUAAAUUUUUGUAUAUUAGCUACAUAUUCAAUUACAAAUAAUAGACAGUGUUAGUUUGUUUUGUUGUAUUUAUUUGGUGUUCAGAGAACUGCAUCAGUGAUUCCACGCAUCAGGUUAAAUUUGUUUUCUCAGACUCCAUGGUCAGUCCAUUACUUCUACUGUAUCUGUUCAACCUAGAUAAUGGAACCAACCAUGAUUAAAGAUAUGUCGAUAUUCCAAGACGGUGGCACCCUAUUUUAUAAAUCUAUAGAAAAGCAUGCCAUUUACUCCAGAAAGGAUACAUUAAUCUGGUUUGACCUAUCUUUUUUUAUUAUUAAAGUGGAAAUCGUAAUGU